GCAUAUCAAUAAGCGGAGGAAAAGAAACCAACAGGGAUUGCCCUAGUAACGGCGAGUGAAGCGGCAACAGCUCAAAUUUGAAAUCUGGCUCUCUUUGGGGGUCCGAGUUGUAAUUUGCAGAGGAUGCUUUGGCAUUGGCGGCGGUCUAAGUUCCUUGGAACAGGACAUCACAGAGGGUGAGAAUCCCGUACGUGGUCGCCUGCCCUUGCCGUGUAAAGCUCCUUCGACGAGUCGAGUUGUUUGGGAAUGCAGCUCUAAAUGGGAGGUAAAUUUCUUCUAAAGCUAAAUACUGGCCAGAGACCGAUAGCGCACAAGUAGAGUGAUCGAAAGAUGAAAAGUACUUUGGAAAGAGAGUCAAAAAGCACGUGAAAUUGUUGAAAGGGAAGCGCUUGCAGCCAGACUUGCCCGCAGUUGCUCACCUAGGCUUUCGCCUGGGGCACUCUUCUGCGGGCAGGCCAGCAUCAGUUUGGGCGGUUGGAUAAAGGCCUCUGUCACGUAUCUCCCUUCGGGGUGACCUUAUAGGGGAGGCGCAAUGCAACCAGCCCGGACUGAGGUCCGCGCAUCUGCUAGGAUGCUGGCGUAAUGGCUGUAAGCGGCCCGUCUUGAAACACGGACCAAGGAGUCUAACAUCUAUGCGAGUGUUUGGGUGUCAAGCCCGAGCGCGCAAUGAAAGUGAACGGAGGUGGGAACCCUUUGGGUGCACCAUCGACCGAUCCUGAUGUCUUCGGAUGGAUUUGAGUAAGAGCAUAGCUGUUGGGACCCGAAAGAUGGUGAACUAUGCUUGAAUAGGGUGAAGCCAGAGGAAACUCUGGUGGAGGCUCGCAGCGGUUCUGACGUGCAAAUCGAUCGUCAAAUUUGGGCAUAGGGGCGAAAGACUAAUCGAACCAUCUAGUAGCUGGU
rnacentral:rRNA from 1 species